ensembl:rRNA 5S_rRNA 5S ribosomal RNA
GUGGAGGGCCAUAGCACCCUGAACGCGCCUGAUCUCCUCUGAUCUCGGAAGCUAAGCAGGGUCGGGCCUGGUUAGUGCUUGGAUGGGAGAUCGCCCGGGCAUACCGGGUGCUGUAGGCU